CGACUGACAACAAACAAUGAACAGUGAACGGCGAGACAGCGAGACAGCGAGAAACGCAGCCAGCAGCCUCUGUCGGCGUCGGCAGAGCUGCUGCGCAUGCGCAGAAGAGAAAGAGGAGCGCACAGUGGGUCAGACCACGUAAUCUAGUUUUUUGAAUACCAGUUGUUUACCAUUUAUCCAAUACCACAAUGAAGCAUAGAAUUUACAAUUAAUUUAAAUACCCACAAAACGUAUUCCAUCUGAAACGCCACUUUGCCCACUGUGCUGCGAAGAGAGGCUGAGCGAGUGGAGCUGCGCAGUCCGCCCCAUUACAAGGUGUUGUUGCUGUUGUUGCCGCUGCCACUGACACAGUUCAAUGUCAGCCGGCGGAAGAGUGAGAGAGAAAGAGAGGAGAAAACGGGAGCCCAUGUUAAGAUUAAAAGGAUGCCUAUUAACAGUGAUCACGAUCUGUUAAUCGCCAGCAAGAGCAGUAGAAUCGCCCAAAACCAAACCUCUUGUAACUAGAACUUUUUUCAUCAAGUCUGAUUAAAAAAUGUGGUUCUUUAUAACUUAUAAA